GAUGAACGCUGGCGGCGUGCCUAAUACAUGCGAGUCGAGCGAACAGACGAGGAGCUUGCUCCUCUGACGUUAGCGGCGGACGGGUGAGUAACACGUGGAUAACCUACCUAUAAGACUGGGAUAACUUCGGGAAACCGGAGCUAAUACCGGAUAAUAUAUUGAACCGCAUGGUUCAAUAGUGAAAGACGGUUUUGCUGUCACUUAUAGAUGGAUCCGCGCCGCAUUAGCUAGUUGGUAAGGUAACGGCUUACCAAGGCAACGAUGCGUAGCCGACUUGAGAGGGUGAUCGGCCACACUGGAACUGAGACACGGUCCAGACUCCUACGGGAGGCAGCAGUAGGGAAUCUUCCGCAAUGGGCGAAAGCCUGACGGAGCAACGCCGCGUGAGUGAUGAAGGUCUUCGGAUCGUAAAACUCUGUUAUUAGGGAAGAACAAAUGUGUAAGUAACUAUGCACGUCUUGACGGUACCUAAUCAGAAAGCCACGGCUAACUACGUG
rnacentral:rRNA from 1 species